CCUACGGGGAGCUGCAGUGGGGAAUAUUGGACAAUGGGCGAAAGCCUGAUCCAGCCAUGCCGCGUGUGUGAAGAAGGCCUUCGGGUUGUAAAGCACUUUCAGUGGGGAAGAAAGCCUUGGGGCUAAUACCCUCGAGGAAGGACAUCACCCACAGAAGAAGCACCGGCUAACUCCGUGCCAGCAGCCGCGGUAAUACGGAGGGUGCGAGCGUUAAUCGGAAUUACUGGGCGUAAAGCGCGCGUAGGCGGUCUGAUAAGCCGGUUGUGAAAGCCCCGGGCUCAACCUGGGAACGGCAUCCGGAACUGUCAGGCUAGAGUGCAGGAGAGGAAGGUAGAAUUCCCGGUGUAGCGGUGAAAUGCGUAGAGAUCUGGAGGAAUACCAGUGGCGAAGGCGGCCUUCUGGACUGACACUGACGCUGAGGUGCGAAAGCGUGGGUAGCAAACAGGAUUAGAUACCCGAGUAGUC
rnacentral:rRNA from 1 species